GCUGCUGAAACUUAUUCUGUGAUCAGCUCAGUACCCUUACCGGCCCUGCCUUUAGACACCAGUGGAGACAUAAAAGUGGAUUCUAAGAUAACAGUGGUCGACACGUAUCAUGUGUACAGCUCCAUCCCUGACACACACGUGACCACCAAUGACGCAGUGUACAGCCUGCUGCAGAUGCACUGAUGUAUAUUACACCUUAAUGAAUGUAAAUAGUUAUUUACAGUAUUAUUCUUAUGCCUGUUAUGCCUUAACAUGUGCUUUAAUUGAAUAGCUUGCUUUUGGAUUUGAAAUGAAUUGGACUGCUGCUGGCUUGUAACUGCGAUGUCACUGAAUGGAGCUCAAGACUGAGUCCAGAUUAAUAAAGAGCUGAUGGUUUUACAGUUGCUUCAUGAAUAAGUUUUUUACAGUUGCUUCAUGAAUAAGUAACUUUAUUACUAUUGUUUUUUUUAAAUUAUUAUUUUACACUCCUACAGCAGUUUCUGAAUCUUGCUUUUUUCCAUCCACAGCCUUUCUUCAAA
ensembl:lncRNA